rnacentral:lncRNA from 1 species
CGCCUCCUCCUCGUCGGAGGGAGAUUCUCCGAUUCGCCGAUGCGCGCGCGCGUUUGUCGGUGGCAUUGAGCUGCGAGGUAAAGCGGGGAAUGCUCCUGCCUCCGGGGCACUCGGCGGGGGCGGAUGUUUUUCUUUUUUAUAUAGCUCCAGCUCGUUUGCUCUUUCGCCGUUCGUUUCGUUUCGACUCGUUCGGCUGAUGAUUGGAAUCUGAUUUGUCUGGUUCUUUCUUCCUCAUUUUUUUAUUUUUUUGGUUUUUUGGGCGGUUUUGAUGAUAGGUGAAGUGAAUUGAAGUCGAAUUCUGCUUGUUCGGAGCUGUCCGUGGGAAGUGAAUCCGAGGUUUCUGUAAGGGCAUUGUAGAGAGAGAAAGAAGAAAGAAGAAAGUUUGGGUAUUGGCGACGGGGUAAAUCAUGGGCGAUGCUGAAGAUUCUCGUAACGACACAUCGCGAGGGCUUCAAUCUUCGUUCGGGACUCCGCAGCCUAAGCAGGCAUUCUCCAUGAACCACCUCGAUAUACCGCACCUGAGCGCUCCGGACAUGCGCGCCCCCAUGCGGCAAUUCGCGCAGAGCUUCGUCGGCGAUGGUAACAAGAGAGCCGGCAUCCCGCCGUCGCAUCCGAACCAGAUCCCUCCGAUUUCGCCGUAUUCCCAGAUCCCAAUG